CAUGGUGUAGCUUAAACACCCAAAGCAUCUGGCCUACACCCAGAAGAUUUCACAGUCAAUGGACAUCAUGA
rnacentral:tRNA from 1 species